rfam:Leifsonia sp. SCN 70-46 ABT06_C0002, whole genome shotgun sequence.
AACGUGCUCCGGGGUCGGUGAAAGUCCGAACCGGCGGUGAUAGUCCGCGACCCGAGUCGACAGACGAGGUUGAGCCGGUGGAAUUCCGGCACCGACGGUAAUGGGUUGGCAACAGCCCUCAGUCCGGAUGAGAGGAAGCACGGG